rnacentral:rRNA from 1 species
UUAAGCAUAUCAAUAAGCGGAGGAAAAGAAACCAACAGGGAUUGCCUUAGUAACGGCGAGUGAAGCGGCAAAAGCUCAAAUUUGAAAUCUGGCACCUUCGGUGUCCGAGUUGUAAUUUGAAGAAGGUAACUUUGGAGUCAGCUCUUGUCUAUGUUCCUUGGAACAGGACGUCACAGAGGGUGAGAAUCCCGUGCGAUGAGAUGUCUGAUUCUAUCUAAAGUGCUUUCGAAGAGUCGAGUUGUUUGGGAAUGCAGCUCUAAGUGGGUGGUAAAUUCCAUCUAAAGCUAAAUAUUGGCGAGAGACCGAUAGCGAACAAGUACAGUGAUGGAAAGAUGAAAAGAACUUUGAAAAGAGAGUGAAAAAGUACGUGAAAUUGUUGAAAGGGAAGGGUUUGAGAUCAGACUUGGUAUUUUGUAUGUCUUGCUUUCGGGUGGGGCCUCUACAGUUUACUGGGCCAGCAUCGGUUUGGACGGUAGGAUAAUGACAUUGGAAUGUGGCACCACUUCGGUG